GGGUCAAAGGUCAUAAGGUGCUGGGCCGCCACUGGGAGAGCCGCUUCGUAGCGCUGCAGGUGCACAUGCUAGACACUAUCAGGGAUAUGUUCCUGUGUUCGGACCGUCCCGUCCUGCAGGCCAUCUUCCUCAACAGCAACUGCUUCGAGCACCUGACACGCCUCCUACAGAACAGCAAGCUGGUUAAUGCUAGGUGCACGACAGCAGAGAAGGACCAGAAAGAUUUCACCAACAGGUUACUGACAGUGACAGGA